UAGCACUCUCAGGAGGUUACAUAGAUGCUGAGGACCAUGUAGAAUGGUUACCGGAAGGUGGUGGUUUCGGUACUGGUGGCCGUCAUUACAUGUGUUGUAGCCAAAUCAAGAUGAAGUACGACUCCGUGCAUGGCCACUGGAUGCACAACGACUGGUGCCGACUACAUUGCUAAGUUUCUAGGUGCUCACUUG